GAAACUAGUAAUAAUAUAAUGCCAAAUUUUAAAUUGUAUCAAUCAAAUUUUAAAUUUUUAUUACAAAUAUAAAUAGAGAAUAUUUGAAUGACUUCAUCAAGAUCCAUAAGUUAUAGACAUGACAUAUAAAGGUUAUUGUAUAAGAAUAUGAUUAUGCCAUUUAUAUCCAUAAUGGAAAAUUAUAUCGUGAACUUCGUUGUCUUGUUGGGAAGGAAUUUCGUAUGGUGGAUCAGAAGAAUAUUUGAUUGGUGUUACAUUCUGUAGGAAAAGUAUAUAAUUUUAUGUAUUAAAUAAUAAUGAAUAAAAUAAACAAUAAGAAUAUUAAA